rnacentral:rRNA from 1 species
GAAUUACUGGGCGUAAAGGGCUCGUAGGUGGUUUGUCGCGUCGUCUGUGAAAUCCGGGGCUUAACUCCGGGCGUGCAGGCGAUACGGGCAUAACUUGAGUACUGUAGGGGUAACUGGAAUUCCUGGUGUAGCGGUGAAAUGCGCAGAUAUCAGGAGGAACACCGAUGGCGAAGGCAGGUUACUGGGCAGUUACUGACGCUGAGGAGCGAAAGCAUGGGUAGCGAACAGGAUUAGAUACCCUGGUAGUCCAUGCCGUAAACGGUGGGCGCUAGGUGUGAGGGUCUUUUCACGACUUUCGUGCCGUAGCUAACGCAUUAAGCGCCCCGCCUGGGGAGUACGGCCGCAAGGCUAAAACUCAAAGGAAUUGACGGGGGCCCGCACAAGCGGCGGAGCAUGUGGAUUAAUUCGAUGCAACGCGAAGAACCUUACCUGGGCUUGACAUACACUGGAUCGGGCUAGAGAUAGUCUUUCCCUUUGUGGCUGGUGUACAGGUGCGGCAUGGUCGUCGUCAGCUCGUGUCGUGAGAUGUUGGGUUAAGUCCCGCAACGAGCGCAACCCUUGUCUUAUGUUGCCAGCAUUUGGUUGGGGACUCAUGAGAGACUGCCGGGGUCAACUCGGAGGAAGGUGGGGAUGACGUCAAAUCAUCAUGCCCCUUAUGUCCAGGGCUUCACACAUGCUACAAUGGUCGGUACAACGCGCAGCGACACUGUGAGGUGGAGCGAAUCGCUGAAAGCCGGCCUUAGUUCGGAUUGGGGUCUGCAACUCGACCCCAUGAAGUCGGAGUCGCUAGUAAUCGCAG